rnacentral:misc_RNA from 1 species
GAUGAAGAACGCAGCGAAAUGCGAUAAGUAAUGUGAAUUGCAGAAUUCAGUGAAUCAUCGAAUCUUUGAACGCACAUUGCGCCCGCCAGUAUUCUGGCGGGCAUGCCUGUCUGAGCGUCAUUUCAACCCUCAUGCCCCUAGGGCGUGGUGUUGGGGAUCGGCCAAAGCCCGCGAGGGACGGCCGGCCCCUAAAUCUAGUGGCGGACCCGUCGUGGCCUCCUCUGCGAAGUAGUGAUAUUCCGCAUCGGAGAGCGAUGAGCCCCUGCCGUUAAACCCCCAACUUUCCAAGGUUGACCUCAGAUCAGGUAGGAAUACCCUCUGAACUUAAGCAUAUCAAUAAGCGAGGA